GGGCGGUGUGUACAAAGGGCAGGGACGUAAUCAAUGCGAGUUAAUGACUCACACUUACUGGGAAUUCCAAGUUCAUGUGAACAGUUUCAGUUCACAAUCCCAAGCAUGAAAGUGGUUCAGCGGUUUACCCGGACCUCUCGGUCUAGGAAAUACACGUUGAUACUUUCAUUGUAGCGCGCGUGCAGCCCAGGACAUCUAAGGGCAUUACAGACCUGUUAUUGCUCAAUCUCAUUAUUGCUAGACGCAAUUUGUCCAUUUAAGAAGCUAGUGUCCUUAUAAUGGGACAAACCAACAGGUACGGCUCCACUUGAAUAAACACAUUCAAACACUUAUACAUUUUACUGCAGUCAUGAAUGAAGGCUACACAAGCCUCAGCACCAUAAUCCUGAAAGCAUCUAUUUAAUAUAUUUGAGUCUCGUUCGUUAUCGGAAUUAACCAGACAAAUCACUCCACGAACUAAGAACGGCCAUGCACCACCACCCAUAGAUUCGAGAAAGAGCUAUCAAUCUGUCUUACACACUUAUGUUCGGACCUGGUAAGUUUUCCCGUGUUGAGUCAAAUUAAGCCGCAGGCUCCACUCCUGGUGGUGCCCUUCCGUCAAUUCCUUUAAGUUUCAGCUUUGCAACCAUACUUCCCCCGGAGCCCAAAAGCUUUGGUUUCCCGGGAAGCGACUGAGAGAGCCAUGAAAGUAGCUACACCCAAUUGCUAGCUGGCAUCGUUUAUGGUUAGAACUAGGGCGGUAUCUGAUCGCCUUCGAACCUCUAACUUUCGUUCUUGAUUAAUGAAAACAUCUUUGGCAAAUGCUUUCGCUUAAGUUAGUCUUACGACGGUCCAAGAAUUUCACCUCUCGCGUCGUAAUACUAAUGCCCCCAAACUGCUUCUAUUAAUCAUUACCUCUUGAUCUAAAAACCAAUGAAAGUAGAACAGAGGUCUUAUUUCAUUAUUCCAUGCACAAAAUAUUCAGGCAUUUGGAGCCUGCUU
rnacentral:rRNA from 1 species